CGGGUAACAACGAGUCGCAAGCUCGCGAGAGUAAGCUAAUCUCUUAAAGCCGUUCUCAGUUCGGACUGUAGGCUGCAACUCGCCUACACGAAGUCGGAAUCGCUAGUAAUCGCGGAUCAGCAUGCCGCGGUGAAUACGUUCCCGGGCCUUGUACACACCGCCCGUCACACCAUGGGAGUUUGUAACGCCCAAAGUCGGUGGCCUAACCUUUAUGGAGGGAGCCGCCUAAGGCGGGACAGAUGACUGGGGUGAAGUCGUAACAAGGUAAC
rnacentral:rRNA from 1 species